CUGGGAGGAUAAAGAUUUUGCUGUCAAAAUAUUAGAUAAAUGUGAACUUUUAACUAUAGUGGGGAUCCAGAACCUUAUUGAUAGAGAUCUCUUGUCAGUACAUUCGGGUAAGCUCAUCAUGCAUCAAUUGAUUCAAGAUAUGGGUAGAGAAAUUGUUCGCCAUGAAUCAUUUGAGGAGCCAGGGAGGUGUAGUAGACUAUGGCGUCAUAGAGAAUGUUUAUACGUAUUGAAAAACAAAACUAAACAAUUGAAGGCAUCAUUCUUGACAGAAAUAUGCUUAAAGAUCAGGGGAAAAUCAGGAUAACAGCUAGUGAAAUUUAUGGCAAAAAACGUAAGCUGGAAGAAUUUCUGAAUAAUUCUCAAAGAUGUCGACCAAAACAAAGUUGGAUGUCCAUUUUCUCAAAUCAUACCAUGGACACCGUGGAAGUUCCAAAUGAAGAUUUGGUAACUGAUGCAUUUAUACAAAUGCGCAAGCUAAGAUUUCUAUUGCUUAGCAACAUACAACUUUGUGGAUGUUACAAGAAAUUUCCCAAGAAGUUAAGAUGGUUGUCUUGGCAUUGCCUUCAGUUAGAAUCCCUACCAAGUGACAUUCCAUUAGAAAGCCUUGUCACAUUAGAUCUUCGAUACAGCAGCUUGAAACAGCUUUGGAAAGGACCAAAGUUAUUCAGAUGUCUAAAGUUUCUCAGUCUCAGCCACUCUUAUUAGCUUAGAAGAUCACCUGAUUUUUCAGAACUUCCCAAUCUUGAACAAUUAAUCCUCGAAUACUGUACAAAUCUGACAGAGAUAGACGACUCUAUCGGAUAUGUAGAGGGACUCACUCUGUUGAACCUUAAUGGAUGUACAAAGUUGAGGAGGAUUCCAGAAAGCGUUUGCAUGUUAAAGUUUCUAGAGACCCUUGAUAUUUUUGGUGCUCUAAUCUUGAAUA